UAAGAUCUCACGCGACGACGGGUAGCCGGCCUGAGAGGGCGACCGGCCACACUGGGACUGAGACACGGCCCAGACUCCUACGGGAGGCAGCAGUGGGGAAUAUUGCACAAUGGGCGAAAGCCUGAUGCAGCGACGCCGCGUGAGGGAUGACGGCCUUCGGGUUGUAAACCUCUUUCAGCAGGGAAGAAGCGAAAGUGACGGUACCUGCAGAAGAAGCGCCGGCUAACUACGUGCCAGCAGCCGCGGUAAUACGUAGGGCGCAAGCGUUGUCCGGAAUUAUUGGGCGUAAAGAGCUCGUAGGCGGCUUGUCACGUCGGAUGUGAAAGCCCGGGGCUUAACCCCGGGUCUGCAUUCGAUACGGGCUAGCUAGAGUGUGGUAGGGGAGAUCGGAAUUCCUGGUGUAGCGGUGAAAUGCGCAGAUAUCAGGAGGAACACCGGUGGCGAAGGCGGAUCUCUGGGCCAUUACUGACGCUGAGGAGCGAAAGCGUGGGGAGCGAACAGGAUUAGAUACCCUGGUAGUCCACGCCGUAAACGUUGGGAACUAGGUGUUGGCGACAUUCCACGUCGUCGGUGCCGCAGCUAACGCAUUAAGUUCCCCGCCUGGGGAGUACGGA
rnacentral:rRNA from 1 species